UACGGAGGGGGCAAGCGUUACUCGGAAUUAUUGGGCGUAAAGGGCGCGUAGGCGGUCUCGUGCGUCAGGGGUGAAAUCCCCGGGCUUAACCCGGGAAGUGCCUCUGAUACGGCGAGACUUGAGUCCGGGAGAGGGGAGCAGAAUUCCCAGUGUAGCGGUGAAAUGCGUAGAUAUUGGGAGGAAUACCAGUGGCGAAGGCGGCUCCCUGGACCGGUACUGACGCUGAGGCGCGAAAGCGUGGGUAGCAAACAGGAUUAGAAACCCCUGUAGUCC
rnacentral:rRNA from 1 species